UUUCCGUAGGUGAACCUGCGGAAGGAUCAUUACUGAGUGAGGGCCCUCUGGGUCCAACCUCCCACCCGUGUUUAUUGUACCUUGUUGCUUCGGUGCGCCCGCCUCACGGCCGCCGGGGGGCUUCUGCCCCCGGGUCCGCGCGCACCGGAGACACUAUUGAACUCUGUCUGAAGAUUGCAGUCUGAGCAUAAACUAAAUAAGUUAAAACUUUCAACAACGGAUCUCUUGGUUCCGGCAUCGAGAAGAACGCAGC
rnacentral:misc_RNA from 1 species